AGGUUCCGAUCAGUUCAAUUAUCGGGAUUACAUGCUGAACCUUUAUGGUUCCUUCAUCCUGUGGAAAGUCCCCGGAGACAGGACGGAAAGCGUCGUAUUGUGUGAUUGUGGAUUCAGGCCGGGUUCGGUGCCAUAGGGAGGGAAUUUACGACCCGUUUGGUUAUCGACCCGUAGCGUUGCUCAGAGCAAAGAUAAUGUUGUUAGAGAUUUAAAAAUCUCAACAAAAUGGGGCUUACUCGGUUGGAACC
rnacentral:RNase_MRP_RNA from 1 species